rnacentral:rRNA from 1 species
UACAGGGGGGGCAAGCGUUGUUCGGAAUUACUGGGCGUAAAGGGCCAGUAGGCGGCCAACUAAGUCCGACGUGAAAUCCCCAAGCUUAACUUGGGAACUGCGUCGGAUACUGGAUGGCUUGAAUUCGGGAGAGGGAUGCAGAAUUCCAGGUGUAGCGGUGAAAUGCGUAGAUAUCGCUUGGAACGCCAAUGGUGAAAACAACUUGCUGGGGGUGUGCUGACGCUGAGACACGAAAGCCAGGGGAGCAAACGGG